GCGAUAGCUCAGUUGGUAGAGCCUUGGUCUCGUAACCAAAAGGCUGCAGAUUCA
rnacentral:tRNA from 12 species